CGGCGGACGGGUGAGUAAUGCCCAGGAAUCUGCCUGGUAGUGGGGGACAACGUUUCGAAAGGAACGCUAAUACCNCAUACGUCCUACGGGAGAAAGCAGGGACCUUCGGGCCUUGCGCGAUUGAAUGAGCCGAUGUCGGAUUAGCUAGUUGGCGGGGUAAAGGCCCACCAAGGCGACGAUCGUAGCUGGUCUGAGAGGAUGAUCAGCCACACUGGAACUGAGACACGGUCCAGACUCCUACGGGAGGCAGCAGUC
rnacentral:rRNA from 1 species